rnacentral:sRNA from 1 species
CCCCCCGGGAGUUUUGUAGAAAUGUUGAUGUCGACCUUUGUUAACUAGCACUUCAAGCAUAUCUGGGUACUUGGCCUCCAUCCAAAUAGAACUGGAUGAUAUCUCCGUGCCAGGCCUAUGGCAAACGCCUGCUAUACUGAUUAGUGUACCGAGCACUCAAAACCCUCAUCUAACCUCUUCCCUUUGGUCUACAUGGAAUUGGACGUGGAAACGAAGUAGUAAUGAUAGCGUGGUUAUCUUUUUUCAAGGUCUCCACCCAGUCCAUUAUUUCAAGCCCUGUCAGGCUACCGCUUGCCGCCUCUCUCGGCGCACUUCUCCGUCCAUCCUUUAGCGAAAACGACAUCCAGUAGUACGACACUAGCAUCUUGGUGAUUCCUGGCACCCUCGAUAGUUGGAAUAUACAGCGUGAAGAUAAAACACGGAGCUUCAGAGAAGCCAGUUUUUCAAAGAAACUUUGGCGGGAACCCCAGCUAAAAUCCCCCAAUAUCACAUGAGCUUUAUUUUAUACAAUCAAAGUGACCAACGGUUUUAUGCAAAGAUGAUCGGGUUCUUGGAUCGAUUACUUCGGAUCGUUAAGAAGGGUCACACGGGUCUCUUUUGUGGGCUAGUGUGAGGUUCUAUCUAGCUGCGGAUGCGAAUAAUUUUGAUAUCAUACCAAGGGAUGGUUGAAUCUAUUUUUUAUAUCACAAGCUCUUUUCUUUUUCUUAACUGCUUUGUUUUUAGACUUAUUGAACACUUUUUCCAAGUUCGCCACAUAUAUUUAUAUUGGAUAUGGGUGUAUGUAUACUAGUAGCGCAAUAAAUCAUGAUAAAUGACUUCUCGAGUCAUGAUCCAGUGAAGUGAGACAACGAAUAUCUGGCAUUUCAUUAGCUGAGC